rnacentral:rRNA from 1 species
CAGCGCGGUAAUACGGAGGGGGCUAGCGUUGUUCGGAAUCACUGGGCGUAAAGCGCACGUAGGCUGCUUUGUAAGUCAGAGGUGAAAGCCCGGGGCUCAACCCCGGAUGUGCCUUUGAGACUGCAGAGCUAGAAUCGCGGAGAGGUGAGUGGAAUUCCGAGUGUAGAGGUGAAAUUCGUAGAUAUUCGGAAGAACACCAGUGGCGAAGGCGGCUCACUGGACGCGUAUUGACGCUGAGGUGCGAAAGCGUGGGGAGCGAACAGGAUUAGAUACCCCCGUAGUCCCUGUCUCUUAUACACAU